UUCUAGAUGGAGAUGAAUCUGCAAGAGGUUAUUUGUUUGUUGGGAUGCGUAUAACUAUAAUUUGGGUAAUCGUGGGAUGAAUUACAUAAUGUUAUCCAGGAGUAAAAGGGGCGUUUUGUUGGAAUCCACCGAGCCAAUGUCUAGCAAAAAGACUCUUGAUAGACUUAGCAACUCAAUUUUUUUCCUUGCAAAUGAUUUUUUUGAUUUGCACUUGUCAUAAAUAUCACUGAUAAGAGCUCCUAGUCUUGUUGUAAAUAUUAAGUAAUCUUCCUUCAUGCAACUUCAUUGGAACACUGUUUGCUGUGGGAAGGGUUAACUUCUCUAUGGAGGUGUAAAGCUUAUAGAGUAUAGGGUCGAUCAUUAGGGUACAGAGGAAAAGGGUUUAUGUGUGGUUACUGGUUAGGAAGCCAUUGCAUAACACUGGACUUCUUUCUCUGGAACAAUGGGCAGAUAAUCCUUUGGAAAAAGAGAUGGACUUGUCUUGACAAAG
rnacentral:misc_RNA from 1 species